UCUGGUAAUGUUGGGAACACCUUUGUCCCAGGAGCCCUCUCUGACCGAAGACACAGCAUAAAUUGGUGGUGCAAAGGCCAUUCACUGCCAUGCCAUAUGACACAGUGCUGUUCGUGAGGGAUUCAAGAAUGAGCUAAAGCAGAAGUUUUCCCCACUACCCGAAUAGGAGCAGGUAAACUUAUAUUGUGGAAACUCUGCUUUUGCUUAAUCUCUUGUGAUUCUAGUGUGUGAAAAUUUAUUGCCAAUAUUACAGUAUUUCACUAACCCCUCCAGUUCCCUUUUUGAAAGGGAGGCUAAAUUAAUUAGCGUUCAUUAAAAAUAAAAAAGUUUGAGCUUUUA